CAGCCAUAAUGUUUUGUUCAUAUUUUUGAAAAAAUCAGUCGUACUAGAUUAUCUAAUAUCAAAGAAGUGAAAAACUUGUAAUGAUAAAAGUCUGAAUGCAGAAGACGAGCAUACCAUUUCCACUCAUCGACUGUGAUUGGUUUCCUGAACCUGAAAUAAAUAUUUCCUUUGGGGAAAGAAAAACAUUGUCUUAAAAAACUGAUCGGAGAGAUUGUGAGCUAAUUUCUAAAGAGGUGCUAGAUAUUUAGGUGAUCAAAGAAAGAAACAGAUAAGGACACAGGAUUUACUGAACAAACCUGUUGCCGAGCUCGUUGAAGCUCCUGUUCUAGUUGUGUCAGCUUCAUCCUGCUGCUCUCCAACUGUUGAACAUAUGCC
rnacentral:lncRNA from 1 species